CAGUAGCCACGGUAAUACGUAGGGUGCAAGCGUUAAUCGGAAUUACUGGGCGUAAAGCGUGCGCAGGCGGUUUGUUAAGACAGAUGUGAAAUCCCCGGGCUCAACCUGGGAACUGCAUUUGUGACUGGCAAGCUAGAGUGUGGCAGAGGGGGGUGGAAUUCCGCGUGUAGCAGUGAAAUGCGUAGAUAUGCGGAGGAACACCGAUGGCGAAGGCAGCCCCCUGGGCCAACACUGACGCUCAUGCACGAAAGCGUGGGGAGCAAACAGGAUUAGAUACCCGAGUAGUCCCUGUCUCUUAUAC
rnacentral:rRNA from 1 species